UACGAAGGGGGCUAGCGUUGUUCGGAUUUACUGGGCGUAAAGCGCACGUAGGCGGAUAUUUAAGUCAGAAGUGAAAUCCCAGGGCUCAACCCUGGAACUGCCUUUGAUACUGGAUAUCUUGAGUAUGGAAGAGGUGAGUGGAAUUCCUGGUGUAGAGGUAAAAUUCGUAGAUAUUCGGAGGAACACCAGUGGCGAAGGCGGCUCACUGGUCCAUUACUGACGCUGAGGUGCGAAAGCGUGGGGAGCAAACA
rnacentral:rRNA from 1 species